rnacentral:misc_RNA from 1 species
AAGUGCUGCAAUAACAAGCUAUCCUAUCCUAUUUCUUAACCCUCGUAUGAUCAAUUGACAAAACGACCAGGUUCAAUGAACCACCACGCUACUAUUCCUACAGUCCUACUCCCCCAAGCAUGAGCGACGCCCCCUCCAAUUUAGUCAAUGACAUUGCUCCUUAAAAGUUAAAACCCUCCUUCUGCCUUAAAACCACUGCUGCAACCACCACUACCACCACCGAUCAUUAUGGCGUUCUCUGAGUUUAGGCCACUUGAUGAGAAAUCUUUGAUAGAGUACAUCAAGGCCACGCCUGUUUUAUACAACAAGCUUGGCAAUAAUUUCGAUGACUUGAAAAUCAAAGAAGUUGGAGAUGGGAAUCUCAAUUUCGUCUUCAUUGUUGUUGGCUCCGCUGGCUCUUUUGUCAUCAAGCAGGCCCUUCCUUACAUACGUUGUAUUGGAGAAUCAUGGCCCAUGACUAAG